rnacentral:rRNA from 1 species
UGUGUAGGCGGUUGUUUAAGUUUGGUGUGAAAUCUCCCGGCUCAACUGGGAGGGUGCGCCGAAUACUGAAUGACUUCGAGUGCGGGAGAGGAGAGUGGAGUUCCUGGUGUAGCGGUGAAAUGCGUAGAUAUCAGGAGGAACACCGGUGGUGUAGGCGGCUCUCUGGACCGUAACUGACGCUGAGACACGAAAGCGUGGGUAGCGAACA